rnacentral:tRNA from 1 species
GGGGCAGUGGUGUAGUGGUCAGCACCCUGUAAUUCAGUCCCAGGAGCCCGAGUUCGAUUCUUGGCUGCCCCC